GCAAGGCACUGAAAAUGCCUAGAUGAGUCGCCAGACUCCAUAAACA
rnacentral:tRNA from 1 species